AUGAAUGUACAACAAACAAUCCAAUGUCAAAAAUGAUCACUAUUGCACGAUGAGACUACAAACCUAGGUUUUCAGCAAUUUCUACACAUGAUGUUCUAACUCUGGCCAUGGCAGAAUUUAGCUGGCUGAUUCUUUGAAUCUGGCUAGGGUGGAUUCUUACAAGGACAAAGAGGAUUUGCUCAGUAACCGGCAAGAGAGAGUCUUGCCAACCCCACUUCUUGAUAUUCAACCAACUGGCAAGCUAUGGACACAGGAUAAGGAUGUUGGAUAGUUUUUUUCACUUCUGGAUUGGAGUUCCUCUAGCAUUUUUUACUGG